AACUAUAGAGUCACAGCCACAACUGUCGGUUAUAAAAAAAAAAAAAAAAUCAAAAUUAGUCUUAAUGCUCAUUCGAUGAAACGUAGAGUUUAACCACAUCGAUAAGAUUUGAGGUGAAAAUUAAGACGUUAGCGCCCUCCUCUCCCUCCUUUGUUUCAGCAACUCUCACUCUUUCUAACCCUCUCACUCUCUCACUCGAUCGCGCCUUUUCUUUGCAUUUUCUCCUUUGUCAGCACAUCGAUCAAAAUUUUUGCACAGCUAUUGUGUUUGUGGUGAGUUUUUCUGUAAUUUUAUCAGUUUAUAAUUUUCAAUUAGUUAAGUUUUCUAUAGUUUUGAACACUUUGAGUUUGGUUCUAAGUCAUUUCUAAUCUGUUGUAGAUUUCUAUGUCAUUUGGAGGAGUUAACUUACCUAUAAAUUGCUAUUUAUUUUAAUUAAUUGUCUUUUUAUUAUUAUUAUUAUUAUUAAACCAUAAUUGAAAUUGAAGAUAAUAAAUUAAGUAAAGUAGAAAUAAUUCAUAAAUUGAAAAAAUUUUAAUUUGCAAGAUUGUAUAUUUAGAAUAGAGACUUGAACCCUAAAAUAUAGUUGUAAGAUAGGAGAGGCAGAAUAAUUCUAUAUGUGGAGUCAUAGAAAUAAUUUCUGUUUGUUUUCCAUAGAAUUUGUUUUUGUUUGCUUCGUAUUUGAUGUGAGGGAUAAAAUGUAUCUCUACCACCACUACUUUGCUUUUCUCUAAUGGUGAUGACUUAUCCACUGCCAAUAGAUUAGUAGACCUUAAAGAGCAAAUUACCCUUAUUAAUAUGGAGUUGACAAAACUAGGUUAGUAUUUCCUCAAAUUAUAUAAAAUCCUACAAUAAUUUGGUUUUUCUCAAAUUUGGUGUGCUACAACUAGGUUCACAUAUAUUUAAAUUCCACUUGGUUCGAUGUGAUUAGUAUUCUUAGAAAAAAAAACUAGAUAUCUAAAACUUUAAAAAAAUUAGUUCCACUUGAAAAUGAUCAUUGAGGACUGAGAACUAGGGCUGCACAUGGAUCGGAUAAUAUCCGCAUAUCUACGGUAAUUAUCCGCAUUCGAUCCGAAUUUUGCGGAUAUUAUCCGAUCCGCAGAGCCAUCGGAUCGGAUCGGAUUGCGGAUUUGGUAGUGAUAUCCGCGGAUCCGAUCCGCAUAUCCGCACAUCACAUAUAAAUAGCAUAGUUAAGAAAAUAAACCCUAAUGUGAUAUGAAUUUUAGUGUGUUAUUUAUGAAUUUUAUAAUAUUUUGUUUUUAAUUUUUUAUGUUGUACUUCAACUUAGAAUAAUUAAACUUAAAUCUUGUGUUAUUAUUUUGUUUUUGUUAUUCAAAAAAACUAUUAUUGAUAAUAUUUUAGGAGUAAAUAGGCUUAAACAGAUAAAAAAUGAAUUUUUUAGAUUUUUUUUUUAUAAAAACAGUCAAAUAGAAUCUUAAAAUAAAUUUUUUUUAAUUAUGCGGAUAUACCCGAUAUCCGAUCCGAUGAGUGCAAUGCGGAUCGGAUAGAAUUUUAGGCUAUAUCCGAUCCGAUCCGAUCCGAUCCGUGUGCAGCCCUACUGAGAACAACUUGAAACAAGCUGUUGGAUUAUGUAAAAUUUUUUACAUGAUUUUUGUUCUUCAAAAAUCAAUAACUUACACCCCCAAUUUUAGUGUUUUAACCCUUUUAAAAUCCCAAUUCACACUUAUUUUACCAAAUGAAAUUCCUCUCAAGGGUUAGUUUGAGGUAAUUACUCAAAAUCUCCAAUUUUUUUAUUCAUUAGCUCUUUAACCGCGAAUAGUAACUUGUGUCAUAAGUUACUUAGCUAACACUUCAUAAUUUCUAACUUUGCACCUCAAACACAUUAUAACCCAUCCCAAUAAGUUCAUGAAUAGUUAUUCAAGCCUAAAUUAAGAUUCCAAUUCAAAUUUGGUUCUAAGUUUAGCACUAACUACCCAAAAUAUUAAGCAAAACUAACAUCAUCAAUCAUACAACAACAACACAAAUCAACCAAUUCAGCCAUGAUCGUCCACAUGCAAUCAAAAUUAUUGUUCAAACUCAACAUGCAAUUUCUUAUCACAACACUACAAGCAUCCCUAGGCACAUGCAUCCUUUUUGAAUCAUACAAAAUAAGUUUUCCUACCUUGAUUGAAGAUUUAACCGAGUUAAUUAAGCCUCCCGCUAAAGAUGGUACUUAUCGAGAUAAAAAAUACAUUGAUAUGACCAAGUAUACUAUGCUUUUUAUUAGGGGUAUGUGUAAACUCUGGGUAAUUAAUAGUUAACUAACAAAGUAAUUUUUAUUUAAAGAAAUUAAGAAAUUAAAUUUGAUAAGUUAGAAGGAUAGAAAUAAUUAAAAUAUGAAUUUUGACACUAAUUUAAAAAUUUUUGGCCCAAAAUUAGGUCAAUGAAUUAAACCAGUUGAACCAAACUCAAACCGAACCCAAUACCCAACAUAUAUAUGCAUUAACCUUGAGCUUUUCUUCUCAUUUUCACAAAAAGAGUGAGGGUUCCACGGUGAGAGAGGAAAGGGAGGAAUGAAAACCUAAGCUAACUUCCAAUCUAAUCUUCAACCCUCCGUAACUUUCAAUUCGGAGCUCUAAUUAAUGAGCCGUUAGUGACCAUGCAUUCGUCUCGAAAUUCUCUACAAAACCCAUCAAACAAUUUGGUAAGAAAAUCUCAAUUUCACACCCAGUUCUUCCUUUACCAAUUUUAAAAACUUUAAGUAAAUAUGUUGAAAUUUUGUUAAAUUUUAAUUUGGUGUUUAGGAUCAAAUUAGCUUUAUGAAUUUGCUGGGUUUUGUCCCAAACAUCCAUUAGUAAGGUGAGGAUCCUCUAAUCCUUAUAAAAUUAUUGGCAUAGCAAAUCUUAUGUUGAUUUAAUAAUAUUUGUAUGGUAUUAGAUUAAAUUAUGUGUUGUGGAGGAAAAUCGAUGGAAUUGGAGGCUUGGGAGUGAACAUUGGAAGCUUGAGUUUGAUUCUUUGUGGCUGAAUUUUCUAUUUGGUGUACAUUUAAAGCUUUGGACAUUUGUGGAACAAUGUAUUUUGUAGCGUUCCGAUAUUAGAGAGGAAUCGACCAAGGUAUGGUUUUGGUUUCUCGUAGAUAAUGUGUAAUGUAACGUGAAAAUGUAGGCUCGUUGACUGUAGAAUAAGUUGGAUUACGUGAACUUGUUAAAGUUUAGUGAGUCUUAGUGUAAAUGUUGAGCUUGUUAUGAGAAUAUGAUGAAUUAUUGAUGUUGAUCUAGAUUGAUGAUGAGGUUUGAUAACGAUUAUGAGUUAUGAUAAUGAUAUAUUGAUGAAUUAUGAAUAAUGUUGUUUUGAUUAUGAAUUGUUUGGACUGGAAUUGAUGAAAUUGAAUAUUGAGUUAUUGUGGAAGGAAUGAAAUGGUUAUGAAGUUGCUUGAGUGUAUGUAAUGUUGUUUUGAGGUGUGAAACUUUCGUUUGCAAUUGAGAGUUUGGAAAAUAGAGAUUUUGAACUCUUUGGUAAAAAAUAGAUUUUUAAUAAACUUUGGUGGACCAUAAAUUGAGACUUGGAUUUUGGAUUUGAAUGAAAUUUAUUUCAAAUCAAAAAUAAUUUUAAGAGCUUCAAAAUAGUUUAACGUUUGUGAAAUUCGGAGUUUUGUAGAGGAAGUUAUGAGCAUCGGAAGUUAGGUGUGUAAAACUGAUUUUUAAUGACUUAACAGCUUUUAAAGAAAAGGGAGGAGCAUCGCGUACGCGACCUGCACGCGCAACAUGAGCUAUGCUCACUGUUUUGUAAUCUCACGUAUGCGGGGCAAGACCUGCAUAUGCGGAACCCAAUUUUUUGAAAGCUCACGUAUGCGAGAGUACGCACGCGACGAGAGCACACUUCCCUGUUUUGCAAUCUCGCGUACGCGAGCCCCCUAUUUUAGCCAAAAAUGAGUUUUUGAAUGUUUAACCAAUCCUCUAACUUUUCAAACUUCUUUUAUACUUGUUUAAAGUCCGAUAGCUAGGUUUUAAGCUACGGAAUAGGGGAAAUGGUGUAAAUAAAGUUAGAUAUGGUGGGAAGGAUACUUAAAUUGAUGUUGGUUGGUUGAGAAGUGAAUGACUAAUUCGAUGAGAUGUUGAAGGUAAUAAAUGAGAUGAUGAUGAUGGAUUAUGAUUGAGAUACCAAAUAAGAUGCAGUGGUGUUAUCCACUUGCUCUGGGUAAGAGAUGAGGAAGAAGAAUGAUGAGGUUGCCUAUGAGGAAGAGGAAGGUUAAGGAGUGAGUUUAAUUAUGAGUUUUGAUUGAAUGUGACUGAAUAAUAAUGAAUUUGAGAAUGAAUGAGACAUAAUUAAUGGCAAUGAUGAUAUUGAUGAUUUGGAUGUGGGAAAGGCAGUAGGGCACUAAUCCCUCGAUCUUUUUCCCCCGCAUUCUCUGUGAUUUUGUUGUGUUGGAUGUGGGAAGACGGUAGGGCGCUAAUCCCUCGAUUCAUUCCCCCACAUUCCUGGUGUUUGUAGUUUAUGGGAUGUGAGGAAGGUGGUAGGGCACUAAUUCCCCGAUAUUUUUCCUCACAUUCUAUCUCUCUCUGUCUACAAGGUGGUAGGACACUAAUCUCUCGACCGGUAUGGCACGGCCUCACUAAGAGAAGGUGGUAGGGUACUAAUUCCCCGAUUUAUUCCCUCGGGUAUAUGCCUCCAGGAGAAGGUGGUAGAGCACUAAUCCCCCGAUUUUAUGCCUCAUGGAGAUGUGCAGUUGAGAGGCGGUAUCUGGGUUGGCUACCAGAUUUGUUGGGUUCUAGCAGUAUAACCAAUGCGUGAGCUCACGGCCAGUAGGACAGGCAUGCAUCAUAUGCAUUUGUGUGAUUUGCUUGAGUAUGCUUUGUUUUUGCUUGCCUAAAUGCUUAUACAUGCUUAACUGCUAUUCUAUAACUGCCAUAUCUGUACCUCUAUUUGUAUUUUCUUUGUCUGAAUUGUAUGUCCGUGCAAUUGAGAGACCCUCGUAUGGCGGAAGAGUGACGAGGAAAGAUCCAUCAGAGUUUGGAAGGUUGUAGGAGAGUGAGAUUGGUCGGAGGAGAGUGAGAUUGAGGUGUUAAGUCAUAUUUGGAUUAGAACCUAAGUAUCUUAGAUAGUUUACCCUUUCUCUGAUUUAAAUUAUAACUCAAAAGUUUUAAAUAUGAGCGUCGAAGUUCUAAGAUUGCCUCUGACUUUUAUUUAUGUGGGCACCAUUACCAUGCUAAGAACCCUCGGUUCUCACCCCAUACGUAUAUUGUUGUUUUCAGAUGCAGGAGACGAGGCACUGCACUAAGCAUGCUGGAGACUCUUUGGAAGUGAAGAAUUCUUUGGACUUAGUAUUGUAUUUUGUUUAUGUUUAUAAAUGUGUAUAGAAUCUCCACCGUGUAUAUAUAUUAUUUUGUCCCUUCUAGAGGUUGACUUUAGAGAAUUAGGAUUUGUAUUUUGUCUGUUGGAUUACUAUUGGGCUGUAUAUGUAUAUAAUCUAGCCAGCCUUUGCUUCGCAG
rnacentral:lncRNA from 1 species